ACAUAUGGAAAGAAGAAACACAUGAUAGUAGAUGAAAAAACACCCUCAUAUAUAAUGCUUCAUGAAUAUGCAAAACCAUGCCAACAGUCUACAGACUCCAGAUGGAAAAAAACAGAGAAAGAAAUUCUAAAGGGGUAUUCAAGGACCCAUCCUCCUCCAAACCUAUUCAUAUCGGAAGGAAUUAACAUCCAACUUGAAUGAAGAAUUACAGACGUCCAGAACAGACCCUUUAAAAAGGACAAGCCAGGUCUUCAGAAGACUUCCUUGAAAAUGAGAAUUUUUUGAGUGGAAGUGAAGAAUAUGGCAUGCAUACAAGCAGACAUCAGCAUUCCCUCCCUCUUGUUUGUAUCAGAGGUGAGAUUUUUGAGAAAGACUUACGGAGGAAGUUUGAGAGUGUCAGUUCUCAGAUCAAGAAGUUAGCUAACAGUAGGAGGAGUAGGAAUUCAUUCCACUGUAUGACCAGAGAAAUAUAUGACAUAAAAGACAUGAAAAAGGAGAUUUGGCAUUGUUUCAUAUGGAAAUUAAAAAAUCUUUGAAAUAUAUAACACAUACAUGUUUCAGUUACUUGGGGAUGAAACUUAUGAGAAAUUUUGCUAACUUUCAGAUGGGAAUGUGUUGCACAAGAAAUGCUUGAUCACAACCUUCUUUUAUUAGAAACCUUUUCUAUGCAAAUAAUUAUUUUAAAUGAAAUUUAGCUAUUUCAUUAGACUAGUAAA